rnacentral:rRNA from 1 species
GGCGUCGGGGCGGCAGCUAACACAUGCAAGUCGGGCGGUAACAGGGAGAAGCUUGCUUCUCUGCUGACGAGCGGCGGACGGGUGAGUAAUGUAUGGGGAUCUGCCUGAUGGAGGGGGAUAACUACUGGAAACGGUAGCUAAUACCGCAUAAUGUCUCCGGACCAAAGCGGGGGACCUUCGGGCCUCGCACCAUCAGAUGAACCCAUAUGGGAUUAGCUAGUAGGUGGGGUAACGGCUUACCUAGGCGACGAUCCCUAGCUGGUCUGAGAGGAUGAUCAGCCACACUGGGACUGAGACACGGCCCAGACUCCUACGGGAGGCAGCAGUGGGGAAUAUUGCACAAUGGGCGCAAGCCUGAUGCAGCCAUGCCGCGUGUAUGAAGAAGGCCUUCGGGUUGUAAAGUACUUUCAGUCGGGAGGAAGGUGUUAAGGUUAAUAACCUUGACAAUUGACGUUACCGACAGAAGAAGCACCGGCUAACUCUGUGCCAGCAGCCGCU